CUUGGUCAUUUAGAGGAAGUAAAAGUCGUAACAAGGUUUCCGUAGGUGAACCUGCGGAAGGAUCAUUAACGAAUUCUGUCAGUGCGUUGAUGCUGGUGGUUUAUCCGCAUGUGCUCGCCUCUGCAUUUUUCUUUAUCCAUACACCUGUGCACCCUUGGAGGGGUAAUGUGUCCGGUCAAACGGAUGCACUUCCCCUCUCUUUCACAAACACAAUUUUUGAUCUAUGAACGUGAUUGAGCCGCAAGGCCAUAAACUUAAAUACAACUUUUAACAACGGAUCUCUUGGUUCUCGCAUCGAUGAAGAACGCAGCGAAUUGCGAUAAGUAAUGUGAAUUGCAGAAUUCAGUGAAUCAUCGAAUCUUUGAACGCAUCUUGCGCUCCCUGGUAUUCCGGGGAGCACGCCUGUUCGAGUGUCGUGAAUACCUCAAGCUGGACGCUUUCUUGGCGUCUCAUGCUUGGAUUUGGACUUUGCCUGUUGCCUAGAGUGACGGGCUGGUCUUAAAUGCAUUAGCUGAUCCAUGCUUGUGUACUUGGUUCUACUCGGCGUGAUAAUUAUCUGACCGCUGAGGACAUUUGCCUUGUUGCGAAUGGCCAGGUGUACCUUGGGUUGCUUCUAAUCGUGGUUACACACAAUAUAUUUUUCAACUUUGACCUCGAAUCAGGUGGGACUACCCGCUGAACUUAAGCAUAUCAAUAAGCGGAGGAAAAGAAACUAACAAGGAUUCCCCUAGUAACGGCGAGUGAAGCGGGAAAAGCUCAAAUUUAAAAUCUGGUGGUCUUUGGCUAUCCGAGUUGUAAUCUAGAGAAGUGUUUUCUGCGCUGGACUGUGUACAAGUUUCCUGGUAUGGAACAUCAUAGAGGGUGAGAAUCCCGUCCUUGACACAGAUCCCCAGUGCUCUACGAUGCGCUCUCGACGAGUCGAGUUGUUUGGGAUUGCAGCUCAAAAUGGGAGGUAAAUUCCUUCUAAAGCUAAAUAUUGGCGAGAGACCGAUAGCGAACAAGUACCGUGAGGGAAAGAUGAAAAGCACUUUGGAAAGAGAGUUAAACAGUACGUGAAAUUGUUAAAAGGGAAACGCUUGAAGU
rnacentral:rRNA from 1 species